GGAGCAAGUGGGGAGCCGUGUGCACUCUGCAGGAAGCGAGAGAGACGAGAGCUGAACAGUGUCGAGUGAACGCAGAGUUCAUAGAGGGCCGACGGACGUAUUUUCGGGUUGACGGAUAGUUAACUGGAGUGAAAAGCUGUUGUACCCUACUGUGAGUAGGAGGAGACGGACGUCUUGCUGGCGUGUCGGAGAAGUCCCUUCUGCUGGUGUGCUGAACUUAUGUGUUCACGUGGGAGCACGUGGCGAGGACGACUGUGAGUGCUGCUGCCGUGGCCUGCUGGUAGCCUUGACCCAGUUUCCCCUGCUAUCCCCUUGAACUGCCUGGAGGUGUGAGUACUGUUUGCACGUGCUUUUUAUUUUACUGCUUGGCAACAAGUGAAGCGACCAUAUUGUUUUAGGUCCCAACGCACCCGAGCCACGACUCAGGCCUGCAACGAGGGGUUGGCUAGCAGAAAGACUGUAGCACUUGAGUGACCACCCACCAGGAGUUUCACUGAUUCCAGACAUGAGUCACACCCAACCCACUCCCCCCCCCCAAGAAAAAAAAAGCCCAGCCGCUCCACUUCCCAUUUUGUCUCCAGAUUAAAGUCAGACAGCGCCG
ensembl:lncRNA